GAGGCUGGAAUGGACCUG
rnacentral:snRNA from 1 species